rnacentral:rRNA from 1 species
GACGAACGCUGGCGGCGUGCCUAAUACAUGCAAGUUGAGCGCUGAAGGUUGGUACUUGUACCGACUGGAUGAGCAGCGAACGGGUGAGUAACGCGUGGGGAAUCUGCCUUUGAGCGGGGGACAACAUUUGGAAACGAAUGCUAAUACCGCAUAAAAACUUUAAACACAAGUUUUAAGUUUGAAAGAUGCAAUUGCAUCACUCAAAGAUGAUCCCGCGUUGUAUUAGCUAGUUGGUGAGGUAAAGGCUCACCAAGGCGAUGAUACAUAGCCGACCUGAGAGGGUGAUCGGCCACAUUAGGACUGAGACACGGCCCAAACUCCUACGGGAGGCAGCAGUAGGGAAUCUUCGGCAAUGGACGCAAGUCUGACCGAGCAACGCCGCGUGAGUGAAGAAGGUUUUCGGAUCGUAAAACUCUGUUGGUAGAGAAGAACGUUGGUGAGAGUGGAAAGCUCAUCAAGUGACGGUAACUACCCAGACAGGGACGGCUAACUACGU